rnacentral:tRNA from 1 species
ACCUACUUGACUCAGCGAUUAGAGUAUCGCUUUCAUACGGCAAAAGCCAUUGGUUCGAAUCUAAUAGUAGGUA